CCAAACUUGGUCAUUUAGAGGAAGUAAAAGUCGUAACAAGGUUUCCGUAGGUGAACCUGCGGAAGGAUCAUUAACAAAUCCAGUGUUGCAGUUAACUAAUUGCACACAUAAGCCCCGUGCAGCAAUGCACGUGAGACAUUUUAUCGUUUGACCGACAGUUGCAAAACAUGUUGAAAACUUUUAACAAUGGAUCUCUAGGCUCCUUCAGAUGUGUAUAAGAGACAGCCAAACUUGGUCAUUUAGAGGAAGUAAAAGUCGUAACAAGGUUUCCGUAGGUGAACCUGCGGAAGGAUCAUUAACAAAUCCAGUGUUGCAGUUAACUAAUUGCACACAUAAGCCCCGUGCAGCAAUGCACGUGAGACAUUUUAUCGUUUGACCGACAGUUGCAAAACAUGUUGAAAACUUUUAACAAUGGAUCUCUAGGCUCCUGCAUCGAUGAAGAACGCAGC
rnacentral:misc_RNA from 1 species